GAUGAACGCUGGCGGCGUGCUUAACACAUGCAAGUCGAACGGAAAGGCCCAAGUUUGCUUGGGUACUCGAGUGGCGAACGGGUGAGUAACACGUGGGUGAUCUGCCCUGCACUUCGGGAUAAGCCUGGGAAACUGGGUCUAAUACCGGAUAGGACGAUGGUUUGGAUGCCAUUGUGGAAAGUUUUUUCGGUGUGGGAUGAGCUCGCGGCCUAUCAGCUUGUUGGUGGGGUAAUGGCCUACCAAGGCGUCGACGGGUAGCCGGCCUGAGAGGGUGUACGGCCACAUUGGGACUGAGAUACGGCCCAGACUCCUACGGGAGGCAGCAGUGGGGAAUAUUGCACAAUGGGCGCAAGCCUGAUGCAGCGACGCCGCGUGGGGGAUGACGGCCUUCGGGUUGUAAACUCCUUUCGCUAGGGACGAAGCGUUUUUGUGACGGUACCUGGAGAAGAAGCACCGGCUAACUACGUG
rnacentral:rRNA from 1 species